CUGCUUGUGUUGCCUAAUAGAGCGUAACACUAAAGAAUAUUGUAGUCACUGAUGGAGAAGAAAUCGAAAUAAUCUGGCUAUCACUUUAUGUGUCUCAGUAUCAGAAAGGUCAUGUAGGCUAAAGAGUGCCAAGGAUUUACCCAAAGUAACAACAGAUUUUCAUGAGACAUAUAGAUUUGCUACAGCCUCCAGGAACAAGUUGUGAGAAGCACUUCAGUCCUCUUGGCAGAGACUUCAAAGGAGUGAGCAUGCCUGUGGUUUUGUGGUGAACUCAAGGCAGCUCCCUGUGCCUCUCUGCACACCUGAGGUGCGUUGUGUCUCAGCUGCAUAUCCACCCACUGAAUGACUGCACUGAAGACAGCCUUCAGCACCCAUCAUAGGACAAGACCAAUAAAAAUGCUCUGGGAUCUUUGUUUCUGAGUUGGCAAUCCUGCACUGGAAGAAUGAACUGAACUGCAAGAAAACUGCUUAAAAUGGGCAGUAACACAUGUCACCAGAAGGGAUGAUUUUAAGAGUGACAUAAAUUCACUUUUUCCAAGUUCUCGAAACUUAUCUGGGUCAGAAUAUUGUUAGGUUGUCUUAGCAGCAGCAUCUCAUCUCACUUCAAAUUAGAAAGGCUUCUUGGUGGAAACGUGAAAUGGCUGAAAGGCUGAAAACUCAGUGUGUGCCCUUGAUGGGAGCUCUUGUAUGCUCAAGGCAGUCGUCAGCCAUAGCGACUGGGAAAACAGAGCUGUUGGAUGUGCCAGACUUCAAAAGAAGUGUCUGGAUGCAUGAAAAAGCAACUUGCUAUAAAGCCCACCAAGGUUAAUGCAUUUUCUUCCAGCAAUUGCAAAUUCAUUUUGUUCUCCUUUUCCACCUCCUCCCAAACUGUGUCAUUUUAAUCAAGUUUCUGUAAAAUACCAUUCUAAAUAGUUAUAUGCCGCAAGACUGAUUACUGGUUACAUGUAGAACGUGAGACAGGAGAAGGGAAGCUGAUUUUUGCUAUUGCCACAGGAGACUGUAUCCACUUUAUCUUAAUACUCAGCACAUAAGGUCACCAAGCCGAGCAUUAUCUUUUGAUAAGCAAAGUAGGUACAAUAUUACCUUUGAAAUAGCUAAGUGAUUUG
rnacentral:lncRNA from 1 species